AUUGAACGCUGGCGGCAUGCUUUACACAUGCAAGUCGAACGGCAGCGCGGGCUUCGGCCUGACGGCGAGUGGCGAACGGGUAAGUAAUGCAUCGGAACGUGCCCAGUAGUGGGGGAUAGCCCGGCGAAAGCCGGAUUAAUACCGCAUACGACCUGAGGGUGAAAGCGGGGGACCGAAAGGCCUCGCGCUAUUGGAGCGGCCGAUGUCGGAUUAGCUAGUUGGUGGGGUAAAGGCUUACCAAGGCGACGAUCCGUAGCUGGUCUGAGAGGACGACCAGCCACACUGGGACUGAGACACGGCCCAGACUCCUACGGGAGGCAGCAGUGGGGAAUUUUGGACAAUGGGGGCAACCCUGAUCCAGCCAUGCCGCGUGCGGGAAGAAGGCCUUCGGGUUGUAAACCGCUUUUGUUCGGGAAGAAAUCCUCUGGGCUAAUACCCCGGGGGGAUGACGGUACCGGAAGAAUAAGCACCGGCUAACUACGUG
rnacentral:rRNA from 1 species